rnacentral:tmRNA from 1 species
GUGUCAAGAUGAAUGAGUUCGGUUUCGGCCGGACUAGGUGGUCCACACCAGUGUUUCGGACAGCGGUUCGAUUCCGCUCAGCUCCAUUUCCGCUUCCGCCCACCUGCGGGAGCUUGUCCAGGGGCUGCAAUGGUUUCGACGGGGCGCCAGGAGGAUGACUGAAGCCUGCUCGGUGAGAGCAAAACCGUAACAGCGAACAACAUCGUUCGUUUCUCCCGUCAAGCCGCCCCUGUGGCCGCCUGACACUCUUAACGGAGACGGGGUGAGGUCAGCCUUGUCAACCAAAUGACCCAUGGGGCCUGGAAGGGCCC